rnacentral:rRNA from 1 species
AUUGAACGCUGGCGGCAGGCCUAACACAUGCAAGUCGAACGAGUGGCGGACGGGUGAGUAAUGUCUGGGAAACUGCCUGAUGGAGGGGGAUAACUACUGGAAACGGUAGCUAAUACCGCAUACCAUCAGAAGUGCCCAGAUGGGAUUAGCUUGUUGGGGGGGUAACGGCGCACCAAGGCGACGAUCCCUAGCGGUUCUGAGAGGAUGACCACGAACACGGGAACUGAGACCCGGUCCAUACUCCUGCGGGAGGCAGCAGUGGGGAAUAGUGCACAAUGGGCGCAAGCCUGAUGCAGCCAUGCCGCGUGUAUGAAGAAGGCCUUCGGGUUGUAAAGUACUUUCAGCGGGGAGGCGUGACCCGCAGAAGAAGCACCGGCUAACUCCGUGCCAGCAGCCGCGGUAAUUC